GACAUGAUAUUCUGUAAUGGCUCCUUGCAGUUGUUGCGGUCCCUGGAGAAACAUAUUCAGAACUCCCUCACUCCUGGAGCACUGCCACUUACUGUACUUGUAUAGCAGUAUACCAUAGUGGCAUUUUCCCUAAAAAUCUUCACCGGCUCACGGACAUCUUAGCACCAAGACUGCUUGAAUUAAAAUCAAUGUACCGUCUUCCCGAGGCAGAGGAAAGCUGUUACUUGCAGGAUGCUGUUGUUCUUCAAUAGAAGCCGAAAACUGUGGAAUAAUUUAAUCCAAAUUGAGAAGGGCAAGAUUCUGAUCCCUUUACUCAUGAUGAAGAGUGCCUUACUCCACACAUAGUUCCAUUGACUUCUGUCAUUAUGCAGAUCUUAUUCAGACCAAACUCCAUACAUUUCAAUGGCAUUUAGCUGAACUAAAGACUGAAUAAAAAUUUUUUAAAAAACUGUAUUUACUUUUAA
rnacentral:lncRNA from 1 species